rnacentral:lncRNA from 1 species
GAUGGCUUUCCCGGUGUCCCUGCUUUCCUUGCAAGGGGRGUGGGCUGCAUGCGUAAGAGAGGACCCCCAAAACGCAUCAGCACUUGAAAGGCUCCUCCUUUCCCCCUUCCAGCAAYGUCCACCUGGGUGCUCAGCUCCCCAUCCCGGUGCAAGAGGAGCCACACAGACUCAUGGGAUGAGCUGUGCUUCAGAAGACCCACCUGAAUCUUCUUCUUACAGACUGGGAAUGGCUGGGAAAUCUUGGACACGCAGGCCCUGAGUGGAGUUCAGCAAAACCAUGGAGAGGAUUGCGUAAGGCUUGAAUGCAAAAAAGGAAGAUUUUUUUUUUUUUUAAAUCACUGCUUGAAGAUAUGGCAAGAAGAGCAUGUAAAAGCCAGUAGUGAGGGAGAAGCCUGGAAAAUCCCAAGCAAGGCUCUACUCGUGGCUGGAGGCCAGAAGAUUGUCCAACGUAAAAGCUGGCCAAUGCUGAAUCUCAAGACGUUCCUCAGGGAUGGGGAGUCAUGGACAGAUGUGCACUCUGGGAUCCAGCUGUGCCACUGGACAUGCUCCCCUCUCCGGCUGCUCCUCCCCACCCACCAGCAGCUCCAGCAACAUCCGCCAGCUUAGUGCAAAGCAGCAGCAUCCCUCACGUGGACGCGGCUGAUUUUGGUUAGAGAUCGCUCACAUGAUACCGUCCAUUGACAGAGCUGUGCAGGCCGUCGUUUCCAGGCGAGAACAACAACGAAUAGCCGGGGCGUGGUGACAUUUUUAGCUGGCACAGCUGUUUGUGGGGCGAACAUCUGUCCACGGCUGCAGAGGAGAGGGAGGUCACCGAGCGGGAACGCUUGGAGGCAGUUAAGGAUUGCAGGGAGGAGGUCAGUGAGCCACGCAGCAAAACUAGCUGGACCUCAUCAAAAGACGUAAGAAGGGCUUUUACACCAGAAAAUGUAGCAGGGAAGUGAGUGAAGAGGGAAAUGAAACUAUUGACGAGCCCAAAAGGCCGAUACCCUGAGCCCUCUUUAAAAUGCUGUCCUCAGAGAGUGCAGAGAGAAGGGAAGGGAGAUGCUCUGCAAGUAGCUAUUGAUGAAGAGAAAGAAGAGGUUCUUGGAAAAUCUUAAAUUUAAUAAAUCAGUCUGGGCAGGUCGCA